rnacentral:rRNA from 1 species
CGCAUCUGUGCAUGCAGCAUAUCAAUAAGCGGAGGAAAAGAAACUAACAAGGAUUCCCUUAGUAACGGCGAGUGAAGCGGGAAGAGCUCAAAUUUGAAAUCUUCAAGGUUUUACCUUGACGAAUUGUAGUUUAAAGAAGUGUUUUCUGUUGAAGUUUUGGUAAAAGUUCUUUGGAAUAGGACAUCAUAGAGGGUGAGAAUCCCGUAUUUGACCAUUAUUUUCAGCUGUGUGAUACACUCUCAAAGAGUCGGAUUGUUUGGGAAUGCAGUCCAAAAUGGGUGGUAAAUUUCAUCUAAAGCUAAAUAUUGGCGAGAGACCGAUAGCGAACAAGUACCGUGAGGGAAAGAUGAAAAGAACUUUGAAAAGAGAGUUAAACAGUACGUGAAAUUGUCAAAAGGGAAGCGUUUGACACCAGUGUUGUUUUCUCGAAAAUCAAUUAAAAAGAGUUAGAUUUUGUUGUGUAUUGACCUUAACAGCUUGCAUUUCAAUUUUCUUGCUUUUUUUAAUGCACUUUUCGUUUAACAAGUCAACAUCAGUUUCUUUUGUUGUAAAAAGGUCAUUGGAAGGCUGGCUUUCUUUUCGGAGAAAGUGUUUAUAGCCUUUGACUCCUGCAAUCGGAGAGACUGAGGUCUGCAGCGUAGAUCCUUCGGGGUUAGAUACAUUUGUGCUAAGUUAUAGCAUUUUAUAGACAACUUGUUGACUAUGAUUAGUCUUGUAGCUUACUCGCUUAUGCUAUUUUACCUACGCUUAGGAUGUUGAUGUGAUACUGCGAGCA